rnacentral:lncRNA from 1 species
GUUUAUAGUGAACGGCAACAAAUCGUCACUUGCGGUACUUACGUAAUUUUCGUUUAGACUGCCUACUACGCGACUAAAAACCAUUCUUAUUUCCGAUAUAGUGUGUAAUUUUCGUCCAUUUAAAUUUCGUUUGUGUUGCUAACCGAUUUUUGUAUAAAUGGAGACUACCCGUAAGUAUCUAUAGUUCUUUUGUUAAUUUAAUUACUAUAUAUCUAGUUCAAAAUAAUUUAUAUUCUGUGAAAUAAACAUAGGUAUAUAUAUAUUUAUUUUACUUUGAACUCAGUACUGUAUCAUGUGCAUGGUCGAAUAAUAUAUUGGCUAGUCAUUCUUUAUUAGUCAUGAAUUUAAGUUUUUAAAACGUUUUAAAAAUGUAAAAUACUCAGGGAAUCAUCUAGAUUUAUGUACGUUUUAAAAUAAUAUUUAAAACUAAGCUACAAAUGCGCCAUUAAACUCAAAUAUUAUGUUAAAUGAAAAUAAUAUGUAGCCACUAAAUUCGGUUAACAAAUAUUUUAUUUAAAUAUCUUAAUUAGAAUUAGUAAGCUUGUAGUAUAGUUUUGUAGGAGAUGGAGCUCGGUAGAUUUACUGUACCUAGAUAAUUCUCGCUAAAUGAUCAAAUUAUAAAUAUUGUGUAUAAUAGUGUUUAAAAUGUGGUUAAAUAGGUUUGAAUAACAUCAAUGAUAAUUCCAACUUUGUGUUUUUGAUUUUAAAUAUAAUUUUUUCAAUGCAAAUUCUUUUUAGAUUUUGUGCAAUGCGAGGAAUAUUUUUUUUUUAAAUUUAAAUGAUUACUGAAAAUAAUAUUUUUUUUUGAUCUACAGAAUCAAUAUAAAUACUUUGCCAAAAAAUAAAACCAUUAAUAUCAUCAAUUUUCACUUUUUAUUUUUUAAAUUUUAAUCUAUUAGUUUAUUGGUAGCAACAUAAUAAAUUGGUUCAAUACCUUUUUUUUAUUUUUUAUAUAUCAUUAAAAUACAAAUUAUAUGUUAGUUAUCAUAUUUUUAUUUUUGGUUUGGUCAUUUCAUUGUUAUUAACAGUAAAAUUAAGAUGUGGGUGUCUGUUUUUAGGUACUUUAUUUCUAGAUAAUAAUAAACAACUUAAGUUUUGUUCAAAUUGUAAUGAUCUUACUAUUAUAAAAAAAAAACAGGUCUUAAAAACCCCAAUAAAAAAAAAAAAACUAAAUGCUUUAACAUUUAAAUAUUUAUAAUCUCUUCCAUAAGAGAAUGUUAUUGAUUAUCAAUUAAAACCACAUUAAACCACUACAGCAAAUCUUUGCGAUGGUCGUUGCCUAUUAUCGUUGAAAGUUUACUUGAUAUACAGAACGUUAACAUUUUUGUUAUUAUUAUUCCGAUGUUUUAUGUGUAUAAUUUUUUUUCAUCUAAGUUUAUAAAAUUAAUAGUAAUAUUAAUUUAUAUAAUAUUAUAUACAAUUAAAAUUGAUCGAGUAUAUGGAUCAAUAACAGUAAAAUAUAUCGCACAAUAAUAGUAAAUAAAUUUAGAUUAUAGCGAAGGAAUUUAACUAGUGUUCAUUGUUAAUUAACGGUACGUUUCUCUCGCGGAACAGAAUAAAGGUAUAGUAAAAUUAUGUGUUCAAAUAAAUUCAGUCAUCUAUGUAUGUUAAUCACAUAAAAAUAAAAUAAAUAUAUAGCUAGGUGCACAUCUGGUAAUAAAUUAAUUGGAGCAUUUUUAUUUUCAGAAAUUUUACAAGCUUUAAAAGAAAAAAAUUAGUAAGAAGUCAAAAGGAUUGGUUGAAAAUGAAAAAUCAUUGAGUGAAAUACUGGUUGAAUUUCCAUUUUUUAUAAAACCUUCUGAGAAAAUUGCGACAAUUGAUUCAUCAAAAUGGCCUUUAUUAUUGAAGGUAAUGUAUUAAUACAUUAAAUAGUAGUUUUAUUUAAUUAAAUGAUUAGUUAAAAUAAAACGAAAAAGAGAUGGAUCAAAGGCUGUAUUCAGUGGCCUUACUAAAACUUUUAAUGCCCUUGGCAAAAUAACUAAAUGGGAGCCAAAUACACAAUUUAAGUUGGAGAAAAUUUUCCGCAGAUCGGAACAAAACAAUAAGUUAUCAAUUGUUUGAUUUUACGACUUGGGGCACCUAGAUGUCUUGG